CUAGUAAGAUGCCCGUGCUACGCUACGGGGUCACAAAAGAUCAGGUGAAACAUUGUUGUUUGUUUAAAUUAUUUCCAAGAUCCAAUUCAUUGCUAUGUCCUGCAAAAAAAAAGUUCUAGACAUUGAUCAAACGAUGUUAUAUUGUUGAUAGGUAGGCAUCGAGCACAACCAAACAUAUGGUUUCCGGCCGCCUUUUUAGUAGAAGCCAUUCUUUCUUGCAAAGAACCCAUUUGUAUACACUAUUUCAAGCAAAAAUCGAUGGAAUUCCACAUCUCUUGCCAUUUGAUUCAAGAUAAGAACUUGUCUCCUUAGAGAUUACAUAUAAUGUUCGUCCAAGCCAAACCUUCUCUUCACCAUCUUGACCUUGCAGGAAGACUUUUUGUUCUCCUUAGUCCUUACUCAGUUUUCUCAUUACUGACUGCAAAUAGAAAAUCUAGCCACACAUUUGGCAAUCGGGACGUGACUGCCAGCUUUUUCUCCAAAUCCAAGAGAACUCGGCAUGAAGAGAGGAAACACAUUAUACAUAAUUUGCAUACAUACGAGAGUAUAUUAAAAUUCAAAAGUGUUGCAUGUACAUGAAUAAUUGAUUCUGCAAUAUAGAAAACCUCAUAAAUGCCAGUCAUCCGAAGUUUAUUCAUACAAUGUAAAUAUCUAACACAUGACAUGCAAGAACUGAGCUCCAACACAGAUUCUAGUGUAGUAGUCAGUGCCUUCAUCUCUAACCGUCCUCUUUCUUCUACGUUCCAAUCCUAGGUUAGUGUAUCCAUGCAUACUACAUAAUACCGUAUUAAAAGAAAUCACAUGUCCUUGAGAAGACAAUUCAAUAUGGUGAUAUCAGUUUCCCUCUUUCCUUCUCAUGUGCUCCUGCCAAACACUCAAGCAUAUCAAGCAUUAUAACUGUGUAAAUAUUAAUGAAGAAACAAAACAUGUUGUGAUCUGGAAGAAAAAAAUUGGUGCUCUUAAGUCUUAAAACACUUCCAUGGGCACCACUUUUUCUAGCACAAAUCACUAAAUAUGUCGUUUCUUCAGGAAAAACUGUAUUUUGUUAGAAGAUACAAAUAUUUUUGUUGCAAAAAGUUCGGACUUUUCUAUUCUUUUUUUUGUUUCACACCGUUCAUCCUAGAGCUGCUUUGGCUCCAUAUUGAAUAUUCGACUUUAUUGUCAGCAUUCACAAUUCCCUCAAAAUCUCUCUGCACUCUCUAUCACCCAAGGUGGAAGAAGAACAGAGGAAGAACACUGAAGGUUUGUGCAGCGCUCUGAAUUUUGCUUUUCUGUUUCACUUUUAUUAUCUCUAACAAAAAACAAACAUGCCGCAGGUCUUGCCCUCUUACCGCAUCGUGCCAUCCCAUGACCGCGAACAAGUCCUUACAGGCCUACAAACGCGCCUCGGGAUCGUACAACCCACGUCCUCAGGUGUCGCUAACAAUUUAACUGAAACUACUGAAGAAAACUGCUAAUUGAAACUACUAACGAAAACUGCAGCUAGAAAAAUGCUGCCAAACUACUAAUCAAGCCACACUGGUUUAUUUGCUAACAUUUAUAUCGCUGAAUCUUAAGAAAAACAAAGAAUAAGCUAGUCUAGGGGAAAAUCCAGUUUGUGACGUAAACUUUGCAUGACAGUUCUAACCAAAAGCUAAGAAUCAAAUAAUUGAUGUAUUCCUUUUCUUUUGAGAAGGCAAGUUAUGAUUAGAUUUCAUGAGACACCUCAAAAUUAUCAUUCGGCUUCUCAAGAGGAGCAUGUGAUGUGGCCCCUACCAAACAAUACUAAAGUUUUUCAAACCUAAUUAAAAUAACAUGACACAUACCAUGUUCAAAAAAAUAUUCUAAAAAUUAUGCAGGUUCACGUAGGUAUAUGAGUCUGAAGUCAUAUAUUGUCUUAGGAAAAAAAUACACACUUUCCCAUGGGAUUCUAAUCAUACAGAUGUUAUAGAAUAUCAAAAUUUACUUGCGGAGAAUUAAAACUGAUAUAUGAACUCAUAGGGGUUUAGGGUAACACACGAUGAGAAGGAAGGCACAUGUUGAAGUCGUGAGAAAUCUAUCUACAAGCAACACAACACUCAUUAUCGGGCAUCUCUCUCAGACCACAUAUUAGAAGGAUAUUACAAAUGCUGCAUACCUUUUUUCAAUCAGCAUUUCCAAAUAGAAAUCUUCUGCUAGUGGAUGCGACGAAGACAAUACUGCAUGCCGUUCUUGCUCCAUUAAUCUCAUACAACUACACAAGUGUAUAUAUGCUGUUUUGUAAAAUAGGAUUACUCAGAUUCCGAUCAAUACACAAUAAUUAAUAUACAGGGAAGUAAAAUUACUUGAUACAACAAAGUGGAAAAGCUUAUCUUUCUUCCUCGUAAGUAGCUCUUGAGAUCUUCUCCACUUAAGAAGACAUUUAGCAAUGCUUGAUAACACUGCUCCAUUUUCCUUGAGCAAAAAAUAUGACACAGAUCACAAUGGAAAAAAAAUCUGAAUAUUGAAUAGAAAAUCUAGUAACAACCCGAGGGGAUGGUUCUCAGUAAUUUCCCCAAGGAUAAAUCUGCAGUUCUCGAGGUACUUCGCAGAUCCACAACCAAUUAGUUUUUAAACAUAUUUAGGAGAGGCAAUGGUUUCAAUCACAUAGCUGCACAAAUCACACAUCUCUGCUCCAAAACAAUGACAAACUUCUUUGGGUCUGACAGAGAAACACAAAACUUAUGGAGGGAUGAACGUGGUUGGGAUUUGGGAACAAACACAGUGGCUUGCGGUAGUUGGCACCGGCACUGCCGGGAAUGAGUAGUUUGCCACCAGCCGAUAUCCUCCGGCGGGUAGCAGUAGGUGGCGGCGCAGCCGGUGGCGUACUCCUGGAGGCCGCCGUCGGAGGAUAUGGGGAGAGAGAGGAAGAGAUGGCGAUGAGGAGGAUGAGGUGGUGCCGGUGCGUGGUGGGGCUACUGCAACAAGAAAGGGGGGAAGCAAGAGAGGCGUCAGGGCACGGACGACGGUAGCGGCGCACUUGCGGGCAUUGGAACUGCAGGAGAUGGGGGAGGGGUGUAGGGGAUGACGCAGAAGAGGGCGUCGUGGUGGAGAUGCUGGGCGAUUGUGCUGCGGCACAAGAGGAGGACGAGUCAACGGACGGGCGGCGUCGACGGCGUAUGUGCUAGCCGAGGUCGGCGCAGGAGGAGAUGGGCAGAAGGGGGCGGAGGAGAUGGCCGGCAAUGGACUUGACGGUGAGGCUGGGCUCUUGGUGGACUGGAUCCAGAGCGAGGGAAGUCCAAGAGGCAGCGGAGGAGAGCGGUAAUGCGAGAUCCAGGCGGCGGACCUAUGUCUACGGGCGGCCAUGGUUACGGGAGCUCUGAGCUCUGUCUACGGGCGGCCAUGGCUGCGGGAGCUCCGAGCUCUGUCUAAAGGGCGGCUAUGGUUGCGGGAGCUCCGAGCUCGGGUGGGGAGGGAUCCCCGCCCAAUUCAAAAACGUCUGUCACUUGGAAAGAGGGGGGAGGGUCCGUGGCGAGGAUUUUGGGAGCGGUCUAGAAGACUCGGUAUCCUUUUCGAGAGAAGGAGAAUGGACUACAUCCUGUUUUUUUACCUGAGAACAUCCAGACUGAAUGGGUUGUCCCUGCUCUAAAACCCUGUCUAAGCAGAGGGUCUUUUUGCAAAAGUGCAAGUGGCACAUGGCUUGUCUCAAUCUCAGCCAUACAUUGCUGAUCGGACGGCAUAGAUGACGUGAAGGCAGACACGCCAUCACCACCAACUCGCAUUUUUAUAGGAGUA
rnacentral:lncRNA from 1 species